UACGAAGGGGGCUAGCGUUGUUCGGAAUCACUGGGCGUAAAGCGCACGUAGGCGGAUCUUUUAAGUCAGGGGUGAAAUCCCGAGGCUCAACCUCGGAACUGCCUUUGAUACUGGGGAUCUCGAGUCCGGGAGAGGUGAGUGGAACUGCGAGUGUAGAGGUGAAAUUCGUAGAUAUUCGCAAGAACACCAGUGGCGAAGGCGGCUCACUGGCCCGGUACUGACGCUGAGGUGCGAAAGCGUGGGGAGCAAA
rnacentral:rRNA from 1 species